rnacentral:sRNA from 1 species
GCCGGGCGCAGUGGCACAUACCUGUAAUCCCAGCGACUCAGGAGGCUGAGGCAGGAGGAUCACAAGUUCAAAGCCAGCCUCAGCAACAGCAAGGUGCUAAGCAAUUCAGUGAUACCCUGUCUCUA